UACGUAGGGUGCGAGCGUUGUCCGGAAUUAUUGGGCGUAAAGGGCUCGUAGGCGGUUUGUCGCGUCGGGGGUGAAAACCAGGUGCUUAACACCUGGCUUGCUUUCGAUACGGGCAGACUAGAGGUAUUCAGGGGAGAACGGAAUUCCUGGUGUAGCGGUGAAAUGCGCAGAUAUCAGGAGGAACACCGGUGGCGAAGGCGGGACUCUGGGCCGAUACUGACGCUGAGGAGCGAAAGCGUGGGGAGCGAACAGG
rnacentral:rRNA from 1 species